rnacentral:tRNA from 1 species
CCCGGAGUGGCGAAAGACGCUAGCGUUUUGCGAUGGCGUUGAGCAGCCAGGCGUUUCUUUCGCCCCUCCAGGGC